AACUAUUACAGUCGAUGAUGAUAGGUUAUAGUUAAGUCAUCCGUCGAAGUCUCUCAGCAGAAGCCACUCUUCAUAGAUAAUUUUGUGGGGGUGUGGUGGAUUGCCGGGCGCUGUGGAUUGCAUCGUGGCCUUUUCACCACCUUAUAGCGAUGCUUCUUUCACCUACUGAGGCUG
rfam:Cyberlindnera jadinii strain CBS1600 genome assembly, contig: CJ2